rnacentral:rRNA from 1 species
AUUGAACGCUGGCGGCAUGCCUUACACAUGCAAGUCGAACGGCAGCACGGGGGCAACCCUGGUGGCGAGUGGCGAACGGGUGAGUAAUACAUCGGAACGUGCCCUGAAGUGGGGGAUAACGUAGCGAAAGUUACGCUAAUACCGCAUAUUCUGUGAGCAGGAAAGAGGGGGAUCGCAAGACCUCUUGCUUUAGGAGCGGCCGAUGUCGGAUUAGCUAGUUGGUGAGGUAAAGGCUCACCAAGGCGACGAUCCGUAGCGGGUCUGAGAGGAUGAUCCGCCACACUGGGACUGAGACACGGCCCAGACUCCUACGGGAGGCAGCAGUGGGGAAUUUUGGACAAUGGGCGCAAGCCUGAUCCAGCCAUGCCGCGUGAGUGAAGAAGGCCUUCGGGUUGUAGAGCUCUUUUGUCAGGGAAGAAACACCGGCUCCAACACAGUCCGGGAAUGACGGUACCUGAAGAAUAAGCACCGGCUAACUACGUGCCAGCAGCCGCAGUAA